UACGGGGGGAGCAAGCGUUGUUCGGAUUUACUGGGCGUAAAGGGCGCGUAGGCGGCCAGCACAAGUCAGUUGUGAAAUCUCCGGGCUUAACUCGGAAAGGUCAACUGAUACUGUGCGGCUAGAGUGCAGAAGGGGCAACUGGAAUUCUCGGUGUAGCGGUGAAAUGCGUAGAUAUUAGGAAGAACACCGGUGGCGAAGGCGGCCCACUGGAUCGGUACUGACGCUGAGGUGCGAAAGCAUGGGGAGCGAACAGG
rnacentral:rRNA from 1 species